CUUCCUGUAUGAUCACUGAAGUUAAGUAAUGUUGAGCCUAGCCAGUACCAAGAUGGGUGACCAUUUAGGAAUACCAGGUGCUGUAAG